rnacentral:rRNA from 1 species
UUGAACGCUGGCGGCAUGCUUUACACCUGCAAGUCGAACGGUAACAGGCCUUCGGGUGCUGACGAGUGGCGAACGGGUGAGUAAUGCAUCGGAACGUGCCCAGAGGUGGGGGAUAACGCAGCGAAAGCUGUGCUAAUACCGCAUGUGAUCUGAGGAUGAAAGCGGGGGACCAGGCAGCAAUGUUUGGCCUCGCGCCUUUGGAGCGGCCGAUGUCAGAUUAGGUAGUUGGUGGGGUAAAGGCCUACCAAGCCGACGAUCUGUAGCUGGUCUGAGAGGACGACCAGCCACACUGGGACUGAGACACGGCCCAGACUCCUACGGGAGGCAGCAGUGGGGAAUUUUGGACAAUGGGCGCAAGCCUGAUCCAGCAAUGCCGCGUGCGGGAAGAAGGCCUUCGGGUUGUAAACCGCUUUUGUACGGAACGAAAAGGCUCUGGCUAAUACCUGGGGCUGAUGACGGUACCGGAAGAAUAAGCACCGGCUAACUACGUG